rnacentral:rRNA from 1 species
UACGUAGGGCGCAAGCGUUAUCCGGAAUUAUUGGGCGUAAAGAGCUCGUAGGCGGUUUGUCGCGUCUGCUGUGAAAGACCGGGGCUCAACUCCGGUUCUGCAGUGGGUACGGGCAGACUAGAGUGCAGUAGGGGAGACUGGAAUUCCUGGUGUAGCGGUGAAAUGCGCAGAUAUCAGGAGGAACACCAACGGCGAAGGCAGCUCUCUGGGACGUUACUGACGCUGAGACGCGAAAGCGUGGGGAGCAAACAGG